rnacentral:lncRNA from 1 species
CAAACUCACAGACCUUAAUUCCUGACUGUCAGAAGAAAUGGAUUCAGUCAAUAAUGGAUAUGCUCCAAAGGCAAGGUCUUAGACCUAUUCCUGAAGCAGAAAUUGGAUUGGCGGUGAUUUUCAUGACUACAAAGAAUUACUGUGAUCCUCAGGGCCAUCCCAGUACAGUGUUGCCCAGGCUGGGCUCAAACUCCUGGGCUCAAGUGAUCCUCCUGCCUCAGCCUUCCAAAGACCAAGCCUUUCACAAGGCGUGUCAGUUGAUGAAAAACUAAUGCCAAGCGCCCCAGUGAACACUACAACAUACGUAGCUGACACAGAAUCAGAGCAAGCAGAUACAUGGGAUUUGAGUGAAAGGCCAAAAGAAAUCAAAGUCUCCAAAAUGGAACAAAAAUUCAGAAUGCUUUCACAAGAUGCACCCACUGUAAAGGAGUCCUGCAAAACAAGCUCUAAUAAUAAUAGUAUGGUAUCAAAUACUUUGGCUAAGAUGAGAAUCCCAAACUAUCAGCUUUCACCAACUAAAUUGCCAAGUAUAAAUAAAAGUAAAGAUAGGGCUUCUCAGCAGCAGCAGACCAACUCCAUCAGAAACUACUUUCAGCCGUCUACCAAAAAAAGGGAAAGGGAUGAAGAAAAUCAAGAAAUGUCUUCAUGCAAAUCAGCAAGAAUAGAAACGUCUUGUUCUCUUUUAGAACAAACACAACCUGCUACACCCUCAUUGUGGAAAAAUAAGGAGCAGCAUCUAUCUGAGAAUGAGCCUGUGGACACAAACUCAGACAAUAACUUAUUUACAGAUACAGAUUUAAAAUCUAUUGUGAAAAAUUCUGCCAGUAAAUCUCAUGCUGCAGAAAAGCUAAGAUC